UAAUAAAAGAUUCUUGUAGUGAUAAUCUCGCGUGUGUUGAUUAGAGAAAAUAAUCUUUCAGACAAGAUUUCUGUCGGAUUAAUGGAUCUAUUCUCAGUUCGCCCAAGCAAACGAAAACCGGUGCCAAAUCCACCUUGCAAGAACGGACGGCGCCAUUUGCCACGUACUUUUGAAAUUAAAUUAUUUUGGCAUAUCGUCAAGCGCCAAAAUUAUAUUGUCGAACGUUCGUUAAAAGGGACAAACAUUUUAUAACUAUUCGUCGUUCGUUCUCGCGGUCCGUCGGGAAGAGAAAAGGCCUCAGCUGCGACCUACCGCAUCCCAUUCCACGAAGAGCGCGUUUUGUGAAGUCGCUACAUUUUUAAAAACGUCCGUGCGAAAUCGCGAAAGGGAGAGAAACGAGAUGACGAGAUGAGGCUAUACCGCGCGUCGCAAAGGAGACUUCACGGCGGCUGCACAAAUACUAACCGCGACAAAAUAACAAGCAGCGCCCAAAGACACAAGGCUACAACUCGCGUCUGACCGCGGAUCCGAAAGGCGGCGAUUGAAAUCUCGCGUUUCAAUUUCGGCGCGAGUCUCGUCGCGCAAUUUCCGAAAUAAAUUCCGACAAGAAAAUUCUCACAAAUUUGUCAAAAACAAGACCGGAAGUUCGUGUCCAAAACGUCGUGUGAAACAGGUCUAUCUGUGACGAAGAUAGCCCGUUGCGACAUUCACAAAAUAAAGGAAAAAAAAAACAC